UACGUAGGCAGCAAGCGUUGUUCGGAAUUACUGGGCGUAAAGAGUGUGUAGGCGGUGCUCUAAGUUUGGUGUGAAAUCCCCCGGCUUAACCGGGAGGCUGCAUCGAAUACUGGAAUGCUAGAGGGUGGGAGAGGUAAGCGGAAUUCCUGGUGUAGCGGUGAAAUGCGUAGAUAUCAGGAGGAACACCUGUGGUGUAGACAGCUUACUGGACCACUUCUGACGCUGAGACACGAAAGCGUGGGUAGCAAACAGG
rnacentral:rRNA from 1 species